rnacentral:rRNA from 1 species
UACGGGGGGGGGCAAGCGUUGUUCGGAAUUACUGGGCGUAAAGGGCUCGUAGGUGGCCAACUAAAUCAGACGUGAAAUCCCUCGGCUUAACCGGGGAACUGCGUCUGAUACUGGAUGGCUUGAGUUCGGGAGAGGGAUGCGGAAUUCCAGGUGUAGCGGUGAAAUGCGUAGAUAUCAGGAGGAACACCGGUGGCGAAGGCGGGUCUCUGGGCCGAUACUGACGCUGAGGAGCGAAAGCAUGGGGAGCGAACAGG